AACGAACGCUGGCGGCGUGCUUAACACAUGCAAGUCGAACGCGAAGGGGAUUUCGGUCCUGAGUAGAGUGGCGCACGGGUGAGUAACGCGUAAGUUAUCUACCCCUCCAUCUGGAAUAACUCACCGAAAGGUGUGCUAAUACCGGAUACGUUGGAAACAAGAAAGGUGGCCUCUAUUUAUAUGCUACCGUGGAGGGAUGAGCUUGCGUACCAUUAGCUAGUUGGUAGGGUAAUGGCCUACCAAGGCAACGAUGGUUAGCGGGUCUGAGAGGAUGAUCCGCCACACUGGAACUGGAACACGGACCAGACUCCUACGGGAGGCAGCAGUGAGGAAUAUUGCGCAAUGGGGGAAACCCUGACGCAGCGACGCCGCGUGGAUGAUGAAGGCCCUUGGGUCGUAAAAUCCUGUCAGAUGGAAAGAAAUGCUACUACGCUAAUAUCGUAAUAGUUUGACGGUACCAUCAAAGGAAGCACCGGCUAACUCCGUGCCAGCAGCCGACGG
rnacentral:rRNA from 1 species